GCCUUCGUGGUGUAGAGGUCAGCACGCUCGACGCGUAACCGAGAGGUCCGUGGUUCGAUUCCCGGCGAAGGCG
rnacentral:tRNA from 1 species